rnacentral:rRNA from 1 species
UACGUAGGGGGCUAGCGUUGUCCGGAAUCAUUGGGCGUAAAGCGCGUGUAGGCGGUCCGGUAAGUCCGCUGUGAAAGUCGGGGGCUCAACCCUCGGAUGCCGGUGGAUACUGUCGGGCUUGAGUACGGAAGAGGCGAGUGGAAUUCCUGGUGUAGCGGUGAAAUGCGCAGAUAUCAGGAGGAACACCAGCGGCGAAGGCGGCGCUCUGGGCCGGAACUGACGCUGAGGAGCGAAAGCGUGGGUAGCAAACAGG